rnacentral:rRNA from 1 species
AGAGUUUGAUCCUGGCUCAGGACGAACGCUGGCGGCGUGCUUAACACAUGCAAGUCGAACGGAGCACCCUUGACUGAGGUUUCGGCCAAAUGAUAGGAAUGCUUAGUGGCGGACUGGUGAGUAACGCGUGAGGAACCUACCUUCCAGAGGGGGACAACAGUUGGAAACGACUGCUAAUACCGCAUGACGCAUGACCGGGGCAUCCCGGGCAUGUCAAAGAUUUUAUCGCUGGAAGAUGGCCUCGCGUCUGAUUAGCUAGUUGGUGGGGUAACGGCCCACCAAGGCGACGAUCAGUAGCCGGACUGAGAGGUUGACCGGCCACAUUGGGACUGAGAUACGGCCCAGACUCCUACGGGAGGCAGCAGUGGGGAAUAUUGCACAAUGGGGGAAACCCUGAUGCAGCAACGCCGCGUGAAGGAUGACGGUUUUCGGAUUGUAAACUUCUUUUCUUAGUGACGAAGACAGUGACGGUAGCUAAGGAAUAAGCAUCGGCUAACUACGUGCCAGCAGCCGCGGUAAUACGUAGGAUGCAAGCGUUAUCCGGAUUUACUGGGUGUAAAGGGAGCGCAGGCGGGACUGCAAGUUGGAUGUGAAAUACCGUGGCUUAACCACGGAACUGCAUCCAAAACUGUAGUUCUUGAGUGAAGUAGAGGCAAGCGGAAUUCCGAGUGUAGCGGUGAAAUGCGUAGAUAUUCGGAGGAACACCAGUGGCGAAGGCGGCUUGCUGGGCUUUAACUGACGCUGAGGCUCGAAAGUGUGGGGAGCAAACAGGAUUAGAUACCCUGGUAGUCCACACUGUAAACGAUGAUAGCUAGGUGUGGGGGGUCUGACCCCUUCCGUGCCGGAGUUAACGCAAUAAGCUAUCCACCUGGGGAGUACGACCGCAAGGUUGAAACUCAAAGGAAUUGACGGGGGCC